rfam:Oryza sativa Japonica Group DNA, chromosome 12, cultivar: Nipponbare, complete sequence.
AAUAAGUGGAGUUUUACACUGUUUAUGUCUCACGUUUGACCGUUCGUCUUAUUUGAAUUUUUUUUAUGAUUAACAUUUUUAUUGUUAUUAGAUGAUAAAACAUGAAUAAUACUUUAUGUGUGACUAACUUAUUUUAAUUUUCUUAUAAAUUUUUUAAAUAAGACGGAUGGUCAAACGUUAGACACGGAUUUUCACGGCUAUACUUAUU